UUUCAUAAACAGAUUUGACAAAAUGAGGUAUUCUGUCUAGCACCACACAAGAUUUGGGAAGAUGUAACCAAACUUGAAUUUAAUUUCUUUGGGAGCAUAUGGGCAGUGUUUUACAAGACUUUUAAUUUUUAUUAUUAUUAUUAUGUCCUGGGCAGUCUUCAGUGGGAUUUCUAAGAAAUGAGUAGCUUAAGAUGGUAAGCUAUGAUAACUUCUAUUGCCUUGUGUAUGGGAACUGUUGAAUCAUGGCCUGAACCUCUGAUUGACCACCUGAGGAAAGCACUGAGUCAGCCGCAGGAGCACAGGUGAAGGCAGCUGUGUGACUGGAAGUGGUGGAGCCUGGCUGCACCACUCCUAGACCACAUUUAAGGGCUGACUGCCACUGGGGAAGGAUCUCUUUCUGGAGAUCGCUCCUCUUGGAGUCUUUUUUGGUGAGCCCCGGACACAGUGCUGGAAGUCAUUUAUUGCUUCUAAUCCAAGGACACUGGCUGGUCACCUGCAGUGAUGAGGAAGAAACUGUCUGUGAUUGCAUGGGGGAACAGAUUACCCAGAGCAGAUGUGGAUUCUACAGCCCAGUUUUUUCAAAAUCCUGAGAAACCUGAUCUGAAUUCAACGUUAACCCUGCUUUGUGGACAAGACUGGGUGAAAUGACCUCCUGAGGUUCCUUCCAACCUAAAGAUCUUCAUAGCAGAUUUUACAUCCCAGUGAUUUGAGAAGUUGCAUUCAAAACAAGGGACAUACGCUCCUCCCAGAACAGAAUUUUUGUCUAUGGUGUUUUAAGAAAAAACAACCAGUUGCUCCAUCUGUCAGUAAACCUCUUCCAAGAAGAAGGAAAUAUCAACACAACACAAAAUGUGAUUGCCCUUUGAAAGCAAAAAGACCUACAGGCACAAAGCUCACUAUGCAUAACAGAGGACAUUGUCCAUCACAACAAAGGGCUAAAAAAGUGAAGAUAAACUAGCGCAUACGAGGAAAUUAUGGGACAGUGUCAGUUACAAAGGCUUGUCUCUUGCACACUAGCAGAUGAAUCAUCAUCCGUGGUUUUGGGGAGGAUGUUUAGACAUUACAGCAAAGGUGAGUUUAGAGUGGGUAUGGAGAAGUUAUGCACGUUUAUAUGGAGCUCAACGUAGGUUUGAACAGAGGCAUUUUUUAUCAGAUAAACAGAUGGGCAAUAUGUGGACUAAUUAAAGCUUGAAACUCAUCCCUGGAUAAUAAAUGAAAAGUGAUUCAUAGAGUGAGAAUAGUUGUCAAUGAUUUGACAGCUAUUGAAAAGUGAUUUUUUCAUUUGUUUGUUUAUUGUGAGGGGAACUGUCAAAAAUGCAAGGAGCUGCGUGAGCUAAUCGAAGUGUUAAGUUUUGAAGACAGUCUUGGCAGCAGUCUAUAAAGAGAUAUGUCUGCAACAAAAAUGCCUUUGUCAGGGCCAAGAUGCUACAGUAAGCGAUCUGUAAAAUAACUCCGACCUUAACAAGAAUUUUAACAGCAUGAAUGGAUGAAAGAGGCCACGUUUUAGGGAGGGUUCUGCAGGAGUAGCUAAAAGGCUAAAUUAAAGCUGGUGCCUGUGGGUGUCUAUGACUGGUAGGAUGGGGAGAGACCUCUGAGAAUUUUGUGAGUAGGAAGACAAGAAAGAGAUGGCUGGGAAAUGAAGGUUGAGAGUUUGGUCUUGGCUAUGCUGGGCUUGAGAUGGUGGCCAGGCAGUUCCAAAGGCAUGUCAGCGUGCCUAGGUGAAUGUAUGAUGAUGAAUGUAAUGUGUUAGGUAAGGGGUUAGGUCUGGAAUGUAGCAGCAUCCAUGAUCCUUCUGAUAAUGAAAUUUGUAGGUGAAAAGAGGCCAAGAGAGACUUUGGAAGGAAAUCACAUGAACUACUGUAAGUGUAGAAAAUGUGACUUCAGAAGAAAUCACAAUAAAAUCAGGAUAUUUUCAUCUGAAAAAGGCUAAGGAAAAGUACAGUUAUAGUCUACUUAAGCAUUACAAGUGACUGCAAAAAUGGAGAAAAUUAACUGUUCUCCAUGGUGAUCAGAACUAGAAGAUGUCAACUUGUAUUGCUGCAAGGGCUAUUUAGGUAAAAGAGGAGAAAAAUUGCAGUGAUAAAAGUAGCAGUGCAUGAAGGCUGUGGUACCCCUCCACUGAAAUUUUUAGGAACAGAUGUGCAUCUACAGUGAAAAGCAUGUGAAAAAAACUCCUUAUUAAUGUAUGUGUUUUUUUUUUUUUCACCUGUAUGUUUUGUGCUGUAAAUUUCAGUGUUAUUAUAAUUAGACUACUAAUAACUUUGACUAGGUUAUUAAGAUACCAGUUAGGCUCACCAUAAAUGCUUAGCUCCAUGUAUAUGGUGUGUACACCUCUAAGAGCAUUUUGAGCAUAGCACGUACAUUACUUUUGUUUCAGGAUAUGAUUCAUUUUUUUCAUAUGAAAGUUUGCUUCCUUCAUCUUAAACGGGAUUACUUAACUCAUUCAAUGCUUUAUUGUUUUAACAUUGAUAGCAUAUUUGAUGGGUAAGAUACACAGUUUUAAUACUGUUUCAAAGAGGAAAUAAUAGAAGAUGUUUGAAUAUUACAGAAUUAUGACCUGAUUUUACAUGGGUAUUUUCUACGCUAGCGGCAAUCAUGCAGAAAAAUCUGUUUAGCCUAAAAUGGCAGUGUUAAUGACCUUGUACAGGAAGAGCAAUGCAUAAAUUGAUGGAGCUUUUACAGUAGGAAGAUAACCUUGGUCAUCCAAAGCUUUUCUACAGAGGUCAGAUGGAAUUAAACAUAUAAGGAAACAACUUCUCUUUAAAGUCUAGCCCUGUCCCAUGGCUGCUUGUUAAAUAUAGUCUUGGAGUACAAUAUUCCUUCCGUUCUGUCUCUUGAGCAGCUACCUGCUCAGCUUUUUUCUUGAAUCUAUGGAUGAAGGGGAAGGAAAUGCCGAUGGCUAUGAGCCCAUAAUGUGCUGGAGGCAAUGACCCUGUCACUGUUUAAUGCUCAGUGUUAACUGAAUCCCCAAAAAUAGGAAUUACUGGGAAGGAAUAAGGUGAAAUGACAUCAAUACUGUUCUGCUUUGUUUUGUUUUCAACUGCAUUCUCUUCUCAUUUUUACAGCUUAAGCUACUGUUUUUGAUUGUAAAGGUUUCUUCAAUUUUUUCAAUGUAUUCAGAAGUCAAGGAGACUUUUUACCCAAAGAAUUUAAUUAGGUUUCCCACAAAUUAGUUAUUUUUUCAUCUGCUUUUUUCUUCAUCAUAACCCCUGUUGCUAGCUUUUCUCAGUUUAUCUGAGAUAGCACUGAAGGUGUUUUGGGAAUUGAAUACCUACAUAAAUGUAACUUUAUUUGCUUGGUUGAAAUGACAAAUAAAAAGAAUGGACAAGUGCUGGCCAACUGUUACUUGGAAAAUUUGUGUCUGAACUUUGAAUCUUCUUAGUAUAUGUUGACCAAAAAAACCUUAAAUCAUCUAUUCCUUGUGUGUUUUAAACCUGUGGCUAGUUAUCACUGUAGCUGAAAGCUGAAACAAGUUGCCCUGAUAGAAGCUGUGAACUAGUCUGAGACUCUGCAUUUACAACUGAUGGUUUUCAUUAGCCCUACUUUGACAUUGUACUUCAGUUCCUCAAUAACCACAGCAGAGCUCAAGAAAUAAUUGGGCUUACUAUCUAACCACUGUUUAAAACACCAGAACACCAGCACUCAUUUUGGCUUGUAUUUAUGGUCACAAGAUUGAGAUAAAAAAAAAA